AGUUUUAGUUCUCAGUCUCAUUUUUGGAAGAUACUCCUUAGGUCUUUGAGGAUUAAACUUAGAACAUGGCUUGCACAAUGAUCUCUGAAGACCUAUGUAUACGUGCCCCGUAGAGUUGAAGAUGCAGGUGCUUGUGUCACCCUGGCUGAAAAGGAGUGCAAUCCCCAGACUCCUUCCUGCUCACAGCAGGCUCAGCUGUGAACUCAGGCAAGGUCACUCAGCAUUUAUCCGGGUGGAUCUUGAAAACCUCCAAGGACAGGGACUGCACAGCAUCUCUGGGUGAAUCUUGAAAACCUCCAAGGACAGGGACUGCACAGCAUCUCUGGGUGAACUGAUCUACUGUCUGACUGCUUGUGGGAUGAGAAAAGAAUUCUGUAACCUCAGUCUGAAGCCUUCAUUCCAGCUCUUGCCCAGUGAACUCCUGCCGAGCUCCACUGACAAGAGCCUAGCUCUGUCACCUUGUCUCUGCCACAGGUUUAACUAGCACCAGUUCUUAAAUAGAUCAACCUUAGCAACUGCUCAUGCACUUGAGUUCCUUAGUGGGACAGGAAACAUUCAAUAAGAAAAAUCAUGGUUCGAGAUAAAGACACAGAGAUGGUGUACCAGUUACUGUCACAAGGAAAACAGACUAGACAUGGUGCAAGAGAGAUAUGAAGCUCCUGGAACAAGUUCACUGAAGGGCUACUAAAAUCCUGAAGUGACUGGAGUAUCUCCUUCAUGAGGAAAGGAACCUGUUUAGCUUGAAGAAAAGAAUGCUUAGGAGGAUCUCAUCCAUAUGUAUAAAUACCUGAAGAGAGAGUGCAGUGAAGAUGGACCCAGGGUCUUUUCAGUGGUGCCCAGUGACAGGACAACAUCACAGACACAGACUAGCAGACAGCAAGUUUCCUCUGAACAUCAAGCAGUGCUUCUUUACUGUAUGGGUGACAGAGCAGUGGAACAGGUUGCCCAGAAAGGUUAUGGAUUUUCCUUCCUUGGAGAUAUUCAAAAUCUGGCUGGACAUGGUUCUAAACAACCUGCUCUGGAUGCCCCUACUUGAGCAGGAGGAUGGGAUUAGAUGACCUCUAGAGGCGUCCUCCAACCUCAACCAUUCUGUGAUCCUGUGAACAUAAUUACUGGAUAACAGCAGCUCUGAAAAGUAUUUGGAGAAAGGAGUCAUGUGGUCCCAAGGAAAAUAAAAUGGUCAGUUAAUUCCAGAUUUCUUUUUUAUUGUCAGUGGAGUCCAAAUUCAAAACAGCUAUUGAAAGAGAAUCACAGCAUAUUGCAUAGCUUAAUUAUAUAGUAGGGUAAGAAAGAUGGGUUUGGAAGGCCAGAUAAAUUUCUUCAAACAAAUGAACAAGCCAAAAUUUAUCUGAAUAUCCAUAUAAAAGAUGUAGUCUUUCCAAAUGAAAAUGGACACAUCAAUGGACUAACAAAAAUAACUGUGCAUGUUCACAGGUAGAAUGAGCAGACGCAUGCUGCCUUGUGGUGAGAAGCUUAUCUCAAGUUAUUACACAGGAGCAUAAAAUACAUGCAUGUAUAUGUAACUUUUGAAAAAGAUAUCUGUAAAGUGACAUAGAGAACCUGACUACUGUUUUCUGAGAUAGAAAUGCUUUCAGUGCUGGCUCCUCUUGUAAUUUUUUUGUGAUACAGUUUUUCUUUCAACUACCUGAAAACAUUAAUAAAGGCCACACUUCAU
ensembl:lncRNA